CAAGAUCAUCAGCCAAAGGCCAGCUUAACCUUAGGAAGGGCUCCUCAGAGUUCUUUUUCACUUUCCUGUGCUCUUUCCCUUUCUCUCUCUAAAACCCUUGCCCUAAAGGUUUUCUCUGAUUUCUCUCAGAUUCCCAGCUCCUUGAACCGUAGGAAUUCGAUUUAGGAGCUACCCAAGCGUUCGCGGAGUAGAGGGCUUCCUUUUUACCGAACGUUCUCUUCGUUCCGAUCGGGUAUUGUGUGUUUUGCUGUGAGAGGUUCUGUGAAGUUGCUAUUGUGAGUUGUACUGUGAGAACCCUAGGAGAAGAUUCAUGGUGGUGCAGUAGUGUUUAGAAUGAUCUACAGGGAAGCUCAGUCUUGGGGGUUAUCCUGACACUCCAAUGGUCUUUCAUUCUCAAGUAGAGAGGAUUGAACCAUGUGGUGAGGAGUAGGAGGUCUUAGUCUUGGGGGCUUCCAGUAUGCCUCAAGGCCCGGAACAGGCUAACCUCGUGAGUGUGGUAGGGUGGAGAACCCAAGUUUCAUAAGCCACCACGAGUGCAUGACCCGCCAUAGCUCGGUAAUCAUUCUAAGUCUGGACGAGUCAGGUCUAGUUCAUGACAUGUUUCUUGGUAUGAGUUAACUUGCUUGGCUUAAAGUAUGUAUGUGAUGGAUUGUUUAAUGAUUAUAGUAUGCUUGUUUGUAAAAAUUAGCUCACCCUUGCUUGUUUGUGUGCUUGUUGUAUGUGUUUUCUUUUGCAAUGAUCAUCCACUUAGAUGUGAGCAGAUGAAGAGGAGGUAUACGUGGAACAAGCGCUAGAAGAUGGUGAUGAUGCAGCUUAGUAUGCUUAGGAUUUGGAUUAGUACAACUAUUCUGUCUUUAGAAAAUUUUCCAGUGGUCCUUUGUGUUUAAGAGACCAACUCUGAUCUUAUUUUGGAUGACUGUAACUCAUAUAGUCUACCUUAUGUCUAUAACUGCUUUCCAAUAUUAUGACUGCAUGACGUCUUUAUCAUA